GCAUCACUUCAAGAGUUUUUUCACUGGAAACCAGAAUUUUUAAAAAACAUUCAGUGAGAUAAUUCAUUUUGCCCCAGGGUUUCCUGCAUAGUGCACUGCAGCCCUUUGCUGCAGCCAGCAGCCGCCAGUGUGACUUUGGCUGCUGUGCUCUCUUAGGGAUAGAAAGCUACAUUGCCCUAAUCAGACCAUCUCUGCUCCAGCAGCCAAGGUAUUAAUGUGUAACCUCAGCUGGCUCUUGUAAAUUUGAGGUUUACAUUUUUGCUUUUACUUGUUAAGAAACAUUGUGAGUGUCAGAUAUUGAAGGCUUGUGUUUGCUUGCCUGUGAGAUACGAGGUCACUAACUCAGAUUCAGCGGGCAAGUAAACUUGUGACCUUGUGCUAAAAAUUAAUAAACCACCAUCAGCACCUCAAACAGAGGGGGAAGGCAGCAUCUGCUUGUGUUAGCUCAAGCCUGGACCUGCUUUUCAUUCAUAAUGACCUGACUGCAAAUGGAGGCUGCUGUAUUUUAUGUUGCAGACUGCCUUCUGAAGGAGACUGACCCAAGACGCGUGGCAUCAUUAAAUUGGGAAUGAUGCUGGACAUGCACUGCAACCACACAAGUGAAAGGAGCCUCCCUGUCUAUGCUCUGCCCACAGACACAACAUGCCCUCCCUGGAUGUUUGAUUUGUGGAGGGACAAGGAAAAGAGAGAAUGCCGAUUUCCACAAGCCAUGUUGCCUUCUAGUCAUAAGAGACUCAGCAUCUAUAUGAAAACAGACACUGCAUUCCUUCUGACUGAUUGCAGGAGCACAACAACACUGUGUGGGCCUCUGGAAAGCCACCCAGCAGCCACAGACUGACUUUGGGUCUCCUCUGUGCAUGUAACCUUUAUGCCUUCUACAAGGGCAUGUACUGGAAGAAGGAUACCUGGGCUAUUAGUACGGUAUGUAAGUGACUGUUCCAGGGAACUGCAUAUACCAGACUGAGUUUUUGCAGUAUUUACCCUGGCUUCCCAAGUGAGAUCCUUCUACCUUCUUUCAUAUCAUCCUCUUGUUCAUCAUACUGUGCAAAUGGUCGAGGCACCAUGUUUUGCUUCUUUUCAAGUUGUAACAUUGGGGUGUUGUACUGGGGUUAAGAAAUGAGGAAUAUUAACAAUAAAAAGAUGGAUACAAAAAUAACACAGCUGGAAAGAAAGCCUACCAAGGGAGAUGCCCUACUAGAGCUGCUGUUUAUGAACAGAGAAGGAAUGAUGGGAGAUAUGGGGGAUGGAAGCUGCCUUGGACAGAAUGAUCACAAAAUGAUAGAGUUUUCUAUUCUUGUGAUUCAAGACUAUGACCUUCGACUUCUGGAGAGUAUACUUUGGUCUGGCUAGGACUCUGAUUGCAAGAGUCUCCUGGGAAACAGCACUGAAGGGCAAAGGGCACAAAGGCAUGUGAGCAGGCCAUUCUUGCAUGCUGUAUGAUGAACCAAUGUGGAAGAAGAUCAGCCUGGCCAAACAGGCAGCUUUUGCUCAGAGACUGAGAAAAAAA